GGCCAGGUGGCAGAGUGGUUAUGCAGCGGCCUGCAAAGCCGCCCGACCUCGGUUCGAAUCCGGGCCUGGCCUCCA
rnacentral:tRNA from 1 species